UUCUUGUCUUUAAAGGGAUAUAUUGUUAUAAAUACGAUCUUUGGGUCGUGAAAAGCCACAUAACGCAGUAGCUCAUGCUAAUGCAUGUAUUUCAGCAACCAACAAAUUCCUUGUCAACUCAACUCACGCUCCAACAGCGAUCGGUUUCAUUCGCAUUGCCAACCCACUUUAAAACGGUUGAACACAUUCCGUGGCAGACAUACCUAGCUGGGGGUAGAGUGAUCAGCACAUAACUUAACAUUCCACCCCAGAGCGCACCGCGUUGUCACACGAAAGGACACCAAACGCUACACAGCUGUAUGCUGCAUUCCUAAGGUGGUGCAGUACAGCUGAGGAACGCAUACACAAUCGGUUCCCAAAACGGCCCGUAGCUGGGCUUUCCGCCGCGUCGCCGGUAGCCACCGGACAAGCACGAUUCGGACCGCAUGCCCUAGACAAUCCACGCUGAAACUCCCAAUCCCCGGCACAAACAUGGUCAACACGGACGGCAGAACACAGAAAACAUGUAAAAGCUCGUUCUUUGGGGGCAGCAAAAAGGGGGGGCCUCAUCUUGUGGUUUGUGCGUUGUGUUUUUUACCUUCACCUACGCAUGAUUGCCCGUAUUUGGAAGAAUAAAAUUUCGCCAUCGAGAAUUCAUAAUUUAUAAA